AGUGAACGCUGGCGGUAGGCCUAACACAUGCAAGUCGAACGGCAGCACAGUAAGAGCUUGCUCUUACGGGUGGCGAGUGGCGGACGGGUGAGGAAUACAUCGGAAUCUACUUUUUCGUGGGGGAUAACGUAGGGAAACUUACGCUAAUACCGCAUACGACCUACGGGUGAAAGCAGGGGAUCUUCGGACCUUGCGCGAUUGAAUGAGCCGAUGUCGGAUUAGCUAGUUGGCGGGGUAAAGGCCCACCAAGGCGACGAUCCGUAGCUGGUCUGAGAGGAUGAUCAGCCACACUGGAACUGAGACACGGUCCAGACUCCUACGGGAGGCAGCAGUGGGGAAUAUUGGACAAUGGGCGAAAGCCUGAUCCAGCCAUACCGCGUGGGUGAAGAAGGCCUUCGGGUUGUAAAGCCCUUUUGUUGGGAAAGAAAAGCAGCAGGUGAAUACCCCGCUGUUCUGACGGUACCCAAAGAAUAAGCACCGGCUAACUUCGUG
rnacentral:rRNA from 1 species